rnacentral:misc_RNA from 1 species
CUGGAGGUUUCCCCCAACCCUCUUCCCAAUAUCGCUUCCCCAAACUUCAUACCCAUUGAGCGUAUCAUGCAGUUAGACCUUCCUGUCAUCGACCCAGAAGCCGAAAUCUUCAAAAGUGGUAGUAAUGAUGUUGUGGUAGCUGGGUUCGUUCUCUUCUUCCCUAACUACUCAACGUUUCUAGCGAAGCCGGGGUUGUACGUGGAGGAUCUGUUCGUGAGGGAGUGUUACAGGAGGAAAGGAAUGGGGAAGAUACUGCUGUCGGCAGUGGCUGCUCAGGCGGUGAAAAUGGGGUAUGGGAGAGUGGAGUGGGUGGUACUUGAUUGGAAUGUGAAUGCUAUUAAGUUUUAUGAGGAAAUGGGUGCUAAGAUUUUGACAGAGUGGAGGAUUUGCAGGCUGACUGGUGAAGCUCUUGAGGCUUAUCGU